GAUGAAGAACGCAGCGAAAUGCGAUAAGUAAUGUGAAUUGCAGAAUUCAGUGAAUCAUCGAAUCUUUGAACGCACAUUGCGCCCGCCAGUAUUCUGGCGGGCAUGCCUGUCCGAGCGUCAUUUCAACCCUCGAACCCCUCCGGGGGGUCGGCGUUGGGGAUCGGCCCUCCCUUAGCGGGUGGCCGUCUCCGAAAUACAGUGGCGGUCUCGCCGCAGCCUCUCCUGCGCAGUAGUUUGCACACUCGCAUCGGGAGCGCGGCGCGUCCACAGCCGUUAAACACCCAACUUCUGAAAUGUUGACCUCGGAUCAGGUAGGAACACCCGCUGAACUUAAGCAUAUCAAUAAGCGGAGGA
rnacentral:misc_RNA from 1 species